rnacentral:tRNA from 1 species
UGGCCGGUAGCUCAACGGUAGAGCGGUGCAAUGUUAAUGCCCUCGUUGCAGGUUCGAUUCCUGCCCGGCCAG